GACGAACGCUGGCGGCGUGCUUAACACAUGCAAGUCGAGCGGUAAGGCCCUUUCGGGGGUACACGAGCGGCGAACGGGUGAGUAACACGUGGGUGACCUGCCCUUAGCUCUGGGAUAAGCCUGGGAAACUGGGUCUAAUACCGGAUAUGACUCCAUGACGCAUGUUGUGGGGUGGAAAGCCUUGUGCGGCUAGGGAUGGGCCCGCGGCCUAUCAGCUUGUUGGUGGGGUGAUGGCCUACCAAGGCGACGACGGGUAGCCGGCCUGAGAGGGCGACCGGCCACACUGGGACUGAGACACGGCCCAGACUCCUACGGGAGGCAGCAGUGGGGAAUCUUGCGCAAUGGGCGAAAGCCUGACGCAGCGACGCCGCGUGAGGGAUGAAGGUCUUCGGAUUGUAAACCCCUGUCGACUGGGACGAAUGUAGAGCGGCCUAAUACGCCGAGCUAUUGACUGUACCGGUGGAGGAAGCCACGGCUAACUCUGUGCCAGCAGCCGCCGU
rnacentral:rRNA from 1 species